GCACUUGUAGUGGUAAACAAAUAAUUUGGUGAGAAAACCUAACAAAGCGGGUCCGGGGUGAGGAUUGGCAGUGUGGAAGAAGGAAAAAGGCCAAGAUAAGAAGACAAGAGGAUUCACCAAAGAGGAUGAAAAAGAAAAGGAACAUGAGCAAAUACACAUGUAAAUCAUAGCUAUAACAGAAUUCUAACGAAAGCUUGGAGUUAAUUUUGGAAAAGACAAUUUCAGGAAUUGAGACAGCUUAUAGAUGCAUAUCUCUUCAACGUAGAAAAAAGUCAUCUUUAAUAAAUGACUGGAGAUGGAACAUCAUGAAGUUUAUAAUGAAAUCAGUAACAUGCUAAGAUGAAU